CCCACAUCCUCCACGCUCCGUUCCAUUGUGGAAGCUUAUUUUCCACUGUAUGAUUAGAGAGAUUUUUUUCGGAAAGCGUAGAAAUCAACCGUUUCAAGCCACUCAUUCCAGCAAGAGUUAGUGGGGAGGGGAGAGGGCUUCCCGGAAAAGAAGAAGUUUUCUAUUUCAACUCACAAGGCUAGGUCUUGGAUUUACACAAGGAAGAUGAUUCAAAAACAACUUUGACCUCACAAAAUAUAAAGGAGUACUAUCCCUUGAUACAUUUUUGCAGUUUUCAUCACACUUUGGUGGAACUUUACGCAUCCCUGAAUGCUCAUCAAUCGCCAUCAUCACUUUAUCAGGAACCCUGUUCUCUGUUUCAUACUUCUUCACACUACG